rnacentral:rRNA from 1 species
AUUGAACGCUGGCGGCAGGCUUAACACAUGCAAGUCUCGCGAGCGGCGGACGGGUGAGUAAUGUCUGGGAAACUGCCUGAUGGAGGGGGAUAAAUACUGGAAACGGUAGCUAAUACCGCAUACCCUCAUCUGUGCCACGAUGGGAUUAGCUAGUAGGUUGGGGAAUGGCUCACCUAGGCGACGAUCCCUAGCUGGUCUGAGAGGAUGACCAGCCACACUGGAAAUGAGACACGGUCCAGACGCCUACGGGAGGCAGCAGUGGGGAAUAUUGCACAAUGGGCGCAAGCCUGAUGCAGCCAUGCCGCGUGUGUGAAGAAGGCCUUCGGGUUGUAAAGCACUUUCAGCGAGGAGGCGUUACUCGCAGAAGAAGCACCGGCUAACUCCGUGCCAGCAGCCGCGGUAAUUC